GACGAACGCUGGCGGCGUGCCUAAUACAUGCAAGUCGAACGAAGUGGCGAACGGGUGAGUAACGCGUAAUCAACCUGCCCUUCAGAGGGGGAACACAGUUGGAAACGACUGCUAAUACCGCAUACUGAAGGAGGGGAUUGCGGCUGAUUAGCUAGUUGGGGGGGUAACGGCCCACCAAGGCGAUGAUCAGUAGCCGGUCGUGUAGGAGUAACGGCCACAUUGGGACGGAGACACGGCCCAGACUUCUACGGGAGGCAGCAGUUGGGAAUCUGCCGCAAUGGACGAAAGUCUGACGGAGCAACGCCGCGUGAGGGAUGACGGCCUUCGGGUUGUAAAGCUCUGUUAAUCGGGACGCGGUACCGGAAUAGAAAGCCACGGCUAACUACGUGCCAGCAGCCGCGGUAAUAC
rnacentral:rRNA from 1 species